UGCAAGGGCACUCUGUGUUAAACAUUUUCAAUAUGUUACUCACAAUUUGUUACCUUGCUAUAUCAAUUCUACUGUAUCCUAUUCUAAAUGACUUGUCUCGUCAUUUGGUCAUAAUGGUAGAAACAUUUU